GGAGAAGGCGGGAACGGUGGUCAUUUGUUUGGCAAUGGCCUCCUCGAAUGUUGAUUACUACGAGAGACAAAAAGAAUUGCAGGAUAUCAUUCACGAACAAGAAAGAAAAAGAGAGCAAUUGGAUCGUCAACUUCAAUUUUUCUGCAAGAAAGACGACAGACUGUAGAUUGAUAACUUUCUACUUGCUAUCACAGUCGAAGAAUUAUUAAAAUGCAGGGGACAUCUUGUACCAAACCAAACCAGAUAUCAGCGAAAGCAAAAUUGAGAGCAACUAAGCUUCAGGCUUACUGGAAGAGAAUAUGUGAGGAUGAGAGAAGAAGUCAGCAAAGAAAUCAAAAUAUCUUGCGGGAUUUCUCCCGUAUUGACUCCCACCUAACUGCAGUGUCAAAUAAAACAGAAAGACUUCGAUUACUCAAGAAACAGUAUGAGGACUACAUAGAGAGGAAUUACCCCCAGUGGAAAGAGCGAGUUACAGGAAAACUAGGAGAGGGGUUAAUCCCUCACAAUGUUCCCCAUCAGCAGUUCUCAAGAGAGGUUUAUGAGGAACCAGAAAUGGAGGAAGAACCUGCAGUGUCGCAUCGGUCAUACUACAUGGAGAGGACUGCACCAUCUAUGUCACCCUCAAAGGCUGGGCCAGGAAGAAAGGAAGCAUCUGAUUACGCGAACCUCAAAGAUGUGAACAGGGCAGAAAAAACAGAAGCCAAACGCAUUGAAUCAAUGGAAAGAAGACAAGAGGCUGUUGACAGGCAGAGAGAACAGCAAGGCAGCAGGAAAUCUCAAUCCCCGACACUAUCUCGUACCGCCCCUUCAGGGUCUGGUGUUCCACCUCCCCCACAGUCUACACAACAACCAGAACCCUCCCCACAAAUGUUCCGGUCAUCUCAAAACUCAACUCACCAGGUACCAGUCGCUGAUGUUAGCGUGGAAGAGAUGGAGGAAAUGAUGUCACAGCCCAUACAGAGUGUGACUGUGAAGGGCAUUCAAGGGAGACCACUGGAGCCUAGAGACACUGAGUCCCCUGGAGGGAUUUCUUAUUCAUCUGGUGGCAUGGAUCCAGGACAAGAUGAUGAAAGCGAUUUUGGGUCAGAGGACAAUAUUCCCCUGCAUGAUUUGCACCACCCACCACCCGCCCAGCAGGUGGAACCAGACAACAUAUCAGACCAAAGUUCACCUGAUGAGGAGCCAGCACCACCAAUUAAAGCUUCAGUUCUACCUAAAGGAGAAAGGCGUUCUCCCUCUCCCGAGUUAACAGUGCAUGGAUUGAUCAAAUUGUUAAAGUUUGUCCAGUCAGACUUCCAGCAUGCACUUUCCUUAGAAGGAUAUUACAGAUCUCACCCACCUUCCCCUACAGACAGGCAAACCAUAAUACAGAGAGCUAACAGUGGAGCUAACCUGUCUGGACUGGACAGUGAGUUGGUUUCCAUGGUGAUAUUGGAGCAGGUGACCCUGGUGAUAAGAAGCCUGAGGACUCCAUGUCUGCUGCCUGACUCCAUUCUGACAGGGAAUAUUGACACCAUUAGUCAAACUCAAAUCAGGGUGAUGUUACGAGACGAUGCUCAACCUCUCUGGGACAGCUUGUUUGAUCACCUAGUACAGUUGGUCACAUGUAAGGUCAUGGCCCCAAAUGAAGUGGCUGCUGUGUUUGUUCCCUGCAUGGUUUCAGACAAAUCACCAUAUCAAGACAAGGCUUUUGAGCUGCUGAUGAAGCUUUUAAAGAGUCAGAUUGAUGCAGGGACCCCGAGGGAAGGGAUGGACAGUUUAACCAGCAGAAAUAUCUCAGGGGUUCCUCCACUGAAGUUCCCAGGAAGUUUGAUUGACAGGUCUCAAACCUACAACAGUGAUGAUGAUACCAGCGUCAUCACCCAGAGUGUCACAAGCUCAAAGAUCCCCCUCAAUGCUACUGACGCCUACAAGAACAUGUUGUCUGGUUCUCUCCCCAUCCAACAGCGACCAAUGGCAGACGAGGAAGAAGAUACAGAUGACGAUGUUGAGAAACAGUUUGCGUCUGCACUAUCCCCAAGAGACCAAAUUGCAACAACUAUUCCCACUGGUACAGGUAAAAUGAUGGAACAGGAUGUUUUGUCUGACGAGAGCUCCACUGUAGCCACUCCUCUCUAUGUUCCUACAGGUGUAACCAGUACUAAACCCAUCAAGUCGGGCAUGACUACACCAAGAUCUGCAGGCCUUUCCCAGAGUGGCUCAAAACGACCAGGUCUUCAGUUCCAGUCCGACCUUGACACAGAUACAGAAAUAGACAUUCUCCAGAAGAAAGAGGAGGACCCAGGCAAAGACGAUGAAGACUUUUUUGAGUUUUAUGAAUAAUAUGUUUUAUCCUGUUAUUUCAUGAAAUAACAGAAAUUUGUUACUGCUGUUGAGAACAGUUAUCCUAGUCACUAGUAAUCAAACAACUGUACAACAACUGAAAAUUGUCCAGACACAUUCAAUAUUGUCAAUAAGAUUUAUUGUACAAAAUGUUAUGCUAUAGACAGUAAUUACAACCACUAGUAUUUGUUGAACAUAUUGCAUAAACAUGAGAAUCAAUUUUAUGCAUCCAAUUAUACACUAGUUAAAAUACCAGAUGUAAACCUGUUAACCACAAUAAAUUAUUAAUCU
rnacentral:misc_RNA from 1 species